rnacentral:rRNA from 1 species
CCUACGGGUGGCAGCAGUGGGGAAUAUUGGGCAAUGGAGGAAACUCUGACCCAGCAACGCCGCGUGAAUGAUGAAGGUCUUCGGAUUGUAAAGUUCUUUUCUAAGGGAAGAAGAAAGUGACGGUACCUUAGGGAUAAGCCUCGGCUAACUACGUGCCAGCAGCCGCGGUAAUACGUAGGAGGCGAGCGUUAUCCGGAGUGACUGGGCGUAAAGGGUGCGUAGGUGGUUUGGCAAGUUAGUAGCGUAACUCCAAGGCUCAACCUUGGAACUACUACUAAAACUGUUGGACUUGAGUGCAGGAGGGGCAACCGGAAUUCCUGGUGUAGCGGUGAAAUGCGUAGAUAUUAGGAGGAACACCAGUGGCGAAGGCGGUCAACUGGACAGCAACUGACGCUGAGGCGCGAAAGCGUGGGGAGCAAACAGGAUUAGAUACCCUGGUAGUC